UUAACGCUGGCGGCGUUGCCUAACACAUGCAAGUCGAACGGACGUCUUCGGACGUCAGUGGCGAACGGGUGAGUAACGCGUAGGUAAUGUGCCUCUGCGCUGCGAAUAACAGCCUGAAAAGGCUGCUAAUACGGAAUGGUCCUCUUGGUGGGCAUCCCCCUUGAGGUAAAGAUUUAUCGCGCGGAGAUCAGCCUGCGUCCUAUUAGUUAGUUGGCGGGUAACGGCCACCAAGACGACGAUGGGUAACUGGUCUGAGAGGAUGAACAGUCACACUGGAACUGAGAACGGUCCAGACUCCUACGGGAGGCAGCAGUGAGGAAUUUUGCGCAAUGGAGGGAACUCUGACGCUAAGCAACGCCGCGUGAGUGAUGACGGCCUUCGGGUUGUAAAGCUCUGUCGAGAGGGACGAGUAGGGACGGUACCUCUCAAGAAAGCCCCGGCUAACUAUGUGCCAGCAGCCGC
rnacentral:rRNA from 1 species